AUGCCUUUGGGGUUUAAAAAAGGAUUGAAUUUCUGUUUGUUUGUAUUUCUUAGGAGCAAGUUUGGCCGAGUUACAAUAGCUGACUGCACUGUGAGCAGCAAGGCACAGACAGGAAUAGGAGGAGGCAGUGGGAGCCAGUGCGCCCCAAGCCGAGGCAGAGCGCCAGUGCCACCCAGGGCGGGAGCACAGCACACGGCUCAGGCCCGUGGCCGCUGUGGGUUGAAAGCUUCAGGGGAGAAACCCGGGGCUAUGUUACCUGGUGACAUGCUGGUCCCCAGCCGCCUGCUGAAACCCAUAUUCAUACUCCAAGGCUCAUUGAGCCAGGAAUUCCAGAUCUCUCUGCUCUGCUCUUCCUCCUCCUGCCUGGAACACAGGACUAUCAAAACUACCCCGAUUUAUUGCCUCCGUUCGUCCACACAACAGCAGUGGCUCCCAUCCUGCACACGGCAAGUUGCAAGGACAGACCCUGGCUUCCCUGGCCCUGCGGAGAUGGGCGGUCACAUGGCUUAGGGACACAGAGGGUGCUCGGACCACAGGCUGGCAGGAGCACUUUCAGGAACUGCAGCACAGGACGUCUACGGUGAAGAGAAGGGUGCUCGCCACUCCUGUGUCAAAUUGAAGACCUGCACCUUCAAAAUUGCUCAGGAAAAUUACAACAGCAACAGCCAAAUCACCCAGAGAGACAGCAGGCAGUGAAAGGCACCACAAAGCCCAUUCCCAGAGCCCACACGGGAAGUGGAGGGAACCCUGCUCUGACCGCCCAAGCAAAGGGGAACCUGCGCCUCCCACCCUCAUACACCGCACUCCACACGCUGCAGGCUGGCUGAGCUGAGCUGAGCCAAAGCUCAUCUGACCCCACUAACCAGUCUCCUUCUCAUGUCCACAGAGAGAUAGGGUCAGAGGUGGCUUCUUCUCUUGAACUGCUCUGCCCUACAGGUACUGUGAGGACACGGAGACCUCCAAAGUCAGGAAACAAGCAAAUGGAAGGAACCAUUUUCUUUUCUUAAUGGUGAACUAUCAAUACUAGAGGUAAGGCAGCUUUAUACAAUGUGGUUUAAAAUCUAUUUACCAAAAGAAAAAAAAUGAGAAAAUGAAAAAAUGGAAAUAAAGUGUUUUGUAAAUGGGGAGGGGAGGAGGAGGUAAAGGAAGGGCAGGGACAAGGGGGAAAAAUGAGAACCAAGACCUGUCAUGUAAAGGUGCAAGAUCCCAAUGAUGAAUGUAACUGUACUGUAUACCUAAAAUGCAUCAAUAAAUUCAAUGAGAGAAAAAAAAUCUAUUUACUGCCGGGCGUGGUAGUGCACGCCUGUAAUCCCAGCACCUGGGAGGCUGAGGCAGGAGGACUGCUGUGAGUUCUAGACCAGCCUGGGCUACAUAGUGAG
rnacentral:lncRNA from 1 species